GAUGAACGCUGGCGGCGUGCCUAAUACAUGCAAGUCGAGCGAACAGACGAGGAGCUUGCUCCUCUGACGUUAGCGGCGGACGGGUGAGUAACACGUGGAUAACCUACCUAUAAGACUGGGAUAACUUCGGGAAACCGGAGCUAAUACCGGAUAACAUGUUGCACCGCAUGGUUCAACAGUGAAAGACGGUCUUGCUGUCACUUAUAGAUGGAUCCGCGCCGCAUUAGCUAGUUGGUAAGGUAACGGCUUACCAAGGCAACGAUGCGUAGCCGACCUGAGAGGGUGAUCGCCCACACGGGAACUGAGACACGGACCAGACUCCUACGGGAGGCAGCAGUAGGGAAUCUUCCGCAAUGGGCGAAAUCCUGACGGAGCAACGCCGCGUGAGUGAAGAAGGUCUUCGGAUCGUAAAACUCUGUUAUUAGGGAAGAACAAAUGUGUAAGUAACUAUGCACGUCUUGACGGUACCUAAUCAGAAAGCCACGGCUAACUACGUG
rnacentral:rRNA from 1 species